rnacentral:rRNA from 1 species
ACAUGCAGUCGAGCGGACAGAUGGGAGCUUGCUCCCUGAUGUUAGCGGCGGACGGGUGAGUAACACGUGGGUAACCUGCCUGUAAGACUGGGAUAACUCCGGGAAACCGGGGCUAAUACCGGAUGGUUGUUUGAACCGCAUGGUUCAAACAUAAAAGGUGGCUUCGGCUACCACUUACAGAUGGACCCGCGGCGCAUUAGCUAGUUGGUGAGGUAACGGCUCACCAAGGCAACGAUGCGUAGCCGACCUGAGAGGGUGAUCGGCCACACUGGGACUGAGACACGGCCCAGACUCCUACGGGAGGCAGCAGUAGGGAAUCUUCCGCAAUGGACGAAAGUCUGACGGAGCAACGCCGCGUGAGUGAUGAAGGUUUUCGGAUCGUAAAGCUCUGUUGUUAGGGAAGAACAAGUACCGUUCGAAUAGGGCGGUACCUUGACGGUACCUAACCAGAAAGCCACGGCUAACUACGUGCCAGCAGCCGCGGUAAUACGUAGGUGGCAAGCGUUGUCCGGAAUUAUUGGGCGUAAAGGGCUCGCAGGCGGUUUCUUAAGUCUGAUGUGAAAGCCCCCGGCUCAACCGGGGAGGGUCAUUGGAAACUGGGGAACUUGAGUGCAGAAGAGGAGAGUGGAAUUCCACGUGUAGCGGUGAAAUGCGUAGAGAUGUGGAGGAACACCAGUGGCGAAGGCGACU